rnacentral:rRNA from 1 species
UACGAACGCUGGCGGCGUGCUUAACACAUGCAAGUCGAACGGAAAGGCCCUGCUUUUGUGGGGUGCUCGAGUGGCGAACGGGUGAGUAACACGUGAGUAACCUGCCCUUGACUUUGGGAUAACUUCAGGAAACUGGGGCUAAUACCGGAUAGGAGCUCCUGCUGCAUGGUGGGGGUUGGAAAGUUUCGGCGGUUGGGGAUGGACUCGCGGCUUAUCAGCUUGUUGGUGGGGUAGUGGCUUACCAAGGCUUCGACGGGUAGCCGGCCUGAGAGGGUGACCGGCCACAUUGGGACUGAGAUACGGCCCAGACUCCUACGGGAGGCAGCAGUGGGGAAUAUUGCACAAUGGGCGGAAGCCUGAUGCAGCAACGCCGCGUGCGGGAUGACGGCCUUCGGGUUGUAAACCGCUUUCGCCUGUGACGAAGCGUGAGUGACGGUAAUGGGUAAAGAAGCACCGGCUAACUACGUG